CCGAGGCGUGGGCACAGAAUAGCGGCGGCACCGGCGCCGGUGAGGCCCAGAUAUGGUGUCUCGAUACGGCGCGGAAGUUUGAAGACAUCAUUUUCCAGUUUUGGAGCCGACUAAUGAACUAGUUCUUAAGUGAAAGGCAUUUAACACGACUGUGCAUCUACAGGUACUAGGUUUCCAAGAUGCCUUUCCAGACUAAAACCCACACAUGUGAGCCGCUGGCCGGACAAACAUCUGGCACCUAACGUGGGGCUGAAAAACAGCAGAGGACAUUUGGAAGAAACACUGCUGGUUUGGAGCUCCAUAGAAGAAGAAAAUAAUUAAAGGAAAUUCAUACCAGAGAAGGAAGCUGCAGCUCCUCUCCUCUGGAUCUUUAUGACCACACCAGGAAGCAUUGUGAUCUGCAGUCAUUGCCAACCUGCAGGAUAACACAGCUUGUUCCUCUGGGAACUGCCCUGCAGUGUCUGCAUACAGCCACCCUCAACCUGUCUGCCUG
ensembl:lincRNA